rnacentral:misc_RNA from 1 species
GUGAUAAAUCGAGCGUGUCUUCAUUGACAACGCUCACCCUUCUCACCAUAUCCACAUACACCCUGUGCACUGUUUAGCCUGAGCCGGUUUUCCGGGUCCCAGGUUAUAUUCAUUUCAUACAAACUCUAGUCUUAUGAAUGUAAACGUUUUAAUAACAUAAUAAAACUUUCAACAACGGAUCUCUUGGUUCUCGCAUCGUAUGAAGAACGCAGCGAAAUGCGAUAAGUAAUGUGAAUUGCAGAAUUCAGUGAAUCCAUCGAAUCUUUGAACGCCACCUUGCGCUCCUUGGUAUUCCGAGGAGCAUGCCUGUUUGAGUGUCAUUAAAACUCUCACCCUCUAGCCUGUUCUUAAUCGUGGCUAGCGCGGCGUGGAACUGUGAGGCUCGCUGCUAGCUUUGUUGCGGCUCGCUCGAAAUGCCAUUAGCAGACCCUUUUCGUAAUCGGUUCCACUCAACGUGAUAAGUAUUUCGUUGAUGGACAGUUGCAGCAAUGCGGCUGGCCGGGAUAAAGAAAGGCAUAGUUGUUCGAGCUUCUAAUCGUCCCCUUGGGCAACUUUUUUAUGAUCUGGCCUCAAAUCAGGUAGGACUACCCGCUGAACUUAAGCAUAUCAAUAAGCGGAGGAAUCGCCAACCUUGGUCAUUUAGAGGAAGUAAAAGUCGUAACAAAGUCUCCGUAGGUGAACCCUGCGGAGGGGAUCAUUACACAAAUAUGAAGGCGGGGCUGGAACCCUCUCGGGGUUACAGCCUUGCUGAAUUAUUCACCCUUGUCUUUUGCGUACUUCUUGUUUCCUUGGUGGGUUCGCCCACCACUAGGACAAACAUAAACCUUUUGUAAUUGCAAUCAGCGUCAGUAACAAAUUAAUAAUUA